ACUUGGCCCCCGUCCAGUGGCAAACAUCCUUCUGAUGUCCUGCCCAGCCUUCAUCUCAGCUUUAAUGGGAAUGCAACCUUCCUCAGCCUUCAGGAGAUCAGCAGAUGUACUACCAGUUUCACUUGCCGUGUGAAGGUUGGCUCCUACGUGACACAGAGAAUGAGGAGGAGAUGAUUGCAGUGGGAAAGGAAGAUGUGCUUUGUCCUGCAUGAUGUUCAAUGGUGUUCACCUCAUCCUUUUGGACUCAUCUGAGAUCAGCACUGAUGAAUGUUUGUGUGGGGUGUUUCCUUGGGGAAGACCUUGUAGUAUCACCCAUCUGUACGUUGAACAACUUGACAUGGUGUAUAGCAAGCUCUUGAGAAGGAUGCUGCUAAGGCACUUCGGACGGGCAUUUAUGGUUCUGCUCCAUUACUUGCAGUUUGAGCUUCGAUCAAAGAGGAAGAAGAAGAGGAAGGAUAAAGGGAAGGGAAAGGGAAAGGGAAGGAGAAGGCAUCCCCACAGUAAUUUCCUGGUGUUUCUCUGACUAACCUCAGCAGCAUAGCAUAGGGAAAGCCUUCUGAUGAAUGCUUCGGGAGAGAGAACAAUGUAUGCUUCUCCUGCCAGUUAUCCCAGCUCUGGAUAUAUAUAGUGGGCAAAGUCUAGAGCUGAUCCUUUACAGUGUGUGAGCACAGCUGGUAGCAGGAAAUCCCCAGUCCUCUCUGGUAGCAUAAAAAAUGAAAUUAAUGGCCAGCCCUUGAAUAGCUCUGUAAGAGACUGAAGACCUCUUCCUUUUCAUUCAGUUAUCCAUACAUGGCCAGCCCCAAUCUAGCUGGUGGGUUUUAACAAAACCUAAUAUGAAUGGAAUUAUUUUCAUGUAUUGCUUUAUUUUUUUAAAACUUUCCUUUUAUUACAUGCUGACAGAAAAAUCCAAUAUAUAAUCCACUGACAGCCGGCGAGCGCCAGAGCCUGAAAAGUCAUCUUACAAAGAAGGAUAUGCAAUUUUGUAUUUCCAUCAAGCGUGCUAGAAUAAUAAGUCAGCUGCCACAAGCCUUGGAGAACUGGCUGGGUUUGGACCUCCUACAGCAAAUUGAGUGACUCAGAGGAACACGUAGACACAGUCGGCACUUGUAAGAAGUGGUUUUAAUAAGAAGAGGAGACAAGUCAUCGUCCCAGCUGUGCAAUCCUCGCCGAAGUCAAAGGGGCUGAAAAGAAAGGCACCAUUUGUCCUGAAGAGCAGCACACACAUGUAUACUGAAGGAGGAUAGCUAUGUAUUUAGACUAGAAGUUCCCCAGACCUAGACGAGACAUUCCUCUGUUUGCUUAACUUCAUUGUUCUUCCCUUCUCUCAUCACUUGUCCUCAGCUGACUGCAGCAGUCCCCGUGGAGCGCCGCAGAAGGCAGGGCAUGGC